AGUGAACGCUGGCGGUAGGCCUAACACAUGCAAGUCGAACGGCAGCACAGUAAGAGCUUGCUCUUACGGGUGGCGAGUGGCGGACGGGUGAGGAAUACAUCGGAAUCUACUUUUUCGUGGGGGAUAACGUAGGGAAACUUACGCUAAUACCGCAUACGACCUACGGGUGAAAGCAGGGGAUCUUCGGACCUUGCGCGAUUGAAUGAGCCGAUAUCGGAUUAGCUAGUUGGCGGGGUAAAGGCCCACCAAGGCGACGAUCCGUAGCUGGUCUGAGAGGAUGAUCAGCCACACUGGAACUGAGACACGGUCCAGACUCCUACGGGAGGCAGCAGUGGGGAAUAUGGGACAAUGGGCGCAAGCCUAAUCCAGCCAUACCGCGUGGGUGAAGAAGGCCUUCGGGUUGUAAAGCCCUUUUGUUGGGAAAGAAAAGCAGCAGGUUAAUACCCCGCUGUUCUGACGGUACCCAAAGAAUAAGCACCGGCUAACUUCGUG
rnacentral:rRNA from 1 species